GAUACUCAAUCCCAAAUGCGCAAGCGUACACUUAGUCAUCAAGAUGGUAUAUUAUGCAAAUUUUCACAACUUUCCAACUCCUUCACUCUAUUCCUACUGUCUAAUUCGAACCCUCAAAUUUCUAUUUACCCACAACAUGUAUUUUCCCCAGCGUUGAUUUUCAGUACAAUCAUUAACAAAUAAUUACCCAUCGCAAGGAGUUGGGGAGAAAGAGGAGUGUAAUGAAAAAUGUGAUACUUCUUAAAUUUGACUAACAAUAUAAAGGGUUGAAAUGGACAUACCAGAUAUGGGCUGAACAUGAGCAAGGUAAGUCCUACUUUUUGAAUUCCUUUUUGAUUUUGUUUUUCUCAGUGUUUUUGGUCCUUUCUUUCUUUUUGUUUGUCUUAUGCACUGUGCCCGUGUGUGUGUGAGUAAAGACUAAAAACAAGAAUAAGAGAGAGACCUAGGGCUUAGUACCUGAGAGUUUUACGGUGAAAAAAUUCAUCGAAUAAUAUAUUUAUGCUGCCGCAUAUGUGUUAUGCGAUGGGUUAGUGACUGUGUUGUGCAACAGAUCUGCAACCAGUUCUGCGAUCGCAGAAUCAUUAUGCGGUCCACAGAAAGUGAAUCCUCACCGCAUUUAUUAAGGACAAAUUUUCAUUUUUUCAGCUUGUUUAUGUGAUCACUAUGCAGUACUCAAAUCCGUUAUACGAUCUUGCAUUCUAACACACACGAAAAACUGUUCAACAUUUAAAAAUAAACUUACCGAAAUUAAAAUCUAACCAAAAAGUGUUACCAACACAUGGGUUGCCUCCCAAGAAGCAAUUAAUUUAACAUCACAGCACGACGAUAUUUCCCAAAUUUUGGCUAACCAGUUGUGGGGGUUGGUGUAAGACCAUCCUUGAGUGCGAGUUGUUCUACCAAGUGCCUUUCUCCAAUGAUUCCAAGGUAAUGCUUGAACUCUUUGCCAUUUAAUUUGAAGGUGCGAGUCUCGUCCUCAGAUUCUAAUUCAAUAGCGCCGUAGGAAGACACAUUCACAACUUUGAACGGGCCAGACCAUUUGGAUUUGAGUUUGCCAGGAAACAACUUCAGACUUGAGUUGAAGAGUAAGAAGAAGUCAUUGGAUUUGAAUCCCGCUUCAAAAUCUUCUUAUCAUAAACAAACUUCAUUCUUUAUUUAUACGUGGUUGCAUUCUCAUAUGCAUGAAAAUUUAUUCUUCCAUUUAGUUGAGUUGAGUCAUCCUUAGAUUAGAAGCUUAGGUCUAGUGAAGUUUUAACUUUUUCAAUGCCAAGAUAGCUUUGUGUUCAAGCUCCACUGGCAAGUGACGCGUCUUACCAAAAACAAACCGGUAUGGUGAGGUGCCAAUGAGAGUCUUAAAUGAUGUUCGAUUUUCCCAAAAUGUAUCAUCUAGAUUCUUUGACUAGUCGGUCCUGUUUGCAUUAACAAUUUUUGCAUGAAUAUUUUUGAUCUCCUGGUUGGAAACUUUAACUUGACCGCUCGACUGAGGAUGAUAAGAGGUUGCCACCUUUUUCAUAACUCCAUAUUUUUAGAGCAACCCAUAAAUAUAUUUGUUGCAAAAGUGAAAACCACCAUCUUUAAGAAUAGCCCUUGGGUUCCAAAUUGAGUAAAUAUGUUCUACUUCAAGAAGGCGGUUACACUCCUUGGCUCAUUGUUUGGCAAGGAAACUGCCUCGCCCAUUUCAAGACAUAAUCUACUUCCACAAAUAUAUAUGUCAUGCCGUUAGAGAUUACAAAGGGACCCAUGAAACCUUUCCCCCACACAUCAAAGAUCUUGACCUCUAUCACAAAGUUCAUAGGCAUAUUCUAGAAAUGACCCUUGUCUUUGACAUUGAUCACAUGCCUUGACUAUUUGGUUUGCUUCCUGGUAGAUCUAUGACCAAUAAUAGGAACAUUUAAGCACUUUUUCUGCAGUACGAUUUCCACUGUGGUAGCCCCUAACUAGGGAGUCACGACAAACUUUGAGACUUUGAAUUACCUUAUCUUUCGAAAUACAACACUGAAUGAUGCAGUCUGUGCAAAUACGGAACAAAAAGGGUUCGUCCCAAUUGUAUUGCCUACACUCAUGCAAGAACUUUUCUUUUGAUAAGCUUCCAAUCUUUCGGGGAUAAGGUUACUAACCAAGAAGUUAGCGUUGUUGGCAUACCAAGAAGUGAUGGCACUAGAAAAUGCCAAUAUGAGUUCAUAACGAAGGCAUCAUUUAUUUCAAGAUCUUCACUUUUUCUCCCUACCUCUUCAAGCCUAGACAAGUGAUCCACAACUUGAUUAUCUGUUCCUUUCUGAUCUUUGACUUCAAUAUCAAACUCUUGUAACAAAAGAACUCACCUAAUUAAUCUUGAUUUAGCAUCCUUCUUUUCCAUAAGGUAGCAGAGAGCAGCAUGAUCAUUGUGGACUCUCACUUUAGAGUCCAACAAAUAGGCCUUGAUUUUUUUCAAACGAAUAGAGAAUAGAAACAAUUCUUUCUCCAUCACGGUGUAAUUCAUUUGUGCGCCAUUGAGUGUCUUGCGUGCAUAGUAUAUAGGAUGAAGAAUCUUGUUAUUUCUUUGACCAAGUACUACUCCAAUCACUAAACCACUAGCAUCACGCAUGAGUCCAAAUGGAAGAAACCAAUCGGAUGUGACAAUAAUAGGUGGUGUGGUAAGCCUUACUUUCAAUUCCUUGAAAUCUUUGAGACACUUCUCAUGGAACUCAGUCUUAGUAUCCUUUUCAAGGAACUUGCACAUGGGACUUGCAGUUUUUUAGAAGUCUUUGAUAAAUUGCCUAUAAAAAUCGGCAUGUCCCAAAAAGCUCCGAAUGCCUUUUACCAAAGUGGGAGGAGGAAGCUUGGAAAUGAUCUCGAUUUUCGCCUGAUAAAUCUCUAUGCCUUGCUUGGAAAUUUUAUGGCCAAGAACAAUACCAUCGUCAACCAUAAAGUGACAUUUUUUUUUGAUUAAGUACAAGGUUUAGGUUCUCACAUCUUUUGAGCACUUGCCUAAGGUUGUCAAGCCAAUUCUCAAAGGAAUCACCAACUACAGAAUAGUCAUCCAUGAACAUCUCUAAGAAAUCCUCAACCAUCUCCGAGAAGAUUGAAAUCAUGCAUCGUUGAAAGGUAGUCGGGCAUUACAUAGCCCAGAUAUCUUCCAACUAAAGGCAAAGGUACCAUACAGACAUAUGAAUGACAUCUUCUCUUGAUCCUCCAAGGCGUAUUGAUUUGGUUGUGGCCAUAAUAACCAUCAAAUAAGCAAUAAAAUGACCUUCCCACAAGCUGAUUAAGCUUUUUGUCUAUAAAUGGCAUGGGGAAAUGGUCUUUGCAAGUAGCACUAUUGAGCUUCUGGUAGUCCAUGAAAACUCCACUCGGUUACUGUCCUCGUUGGGAUGAGUUCAUUUUUCUUAUUUUGAAUCACGGGCAUGCCUCCUUUCUUUGGCACACAUUGAACCAGACUCACCCAUGGACUACCGGCAUUAGGAGAAACCCCAAUAUCCAACCAUUUUAUAACUUCUUUCUUCACUGUCUAUUGCAUGGAAGGAUUUAACCUUCUUUGAUGCUCCACACUAGUUUUUUUCUCCUCUUCCAAAUGUAUCUUGUGCUCACAAAUUCCAAUAGGAAUCCCUCAGAUAUCCGCUAUAGUCCAACCAAUGGCUUGCGUGUGGUCUCUCACGACAUCUAAGAAGUGUUUAAUCUGCGCAUUAUUCAACAAAGAAGAAACAAUUAUGGGUAGAGCUUCAUUAGAUCCACGAAUUUUAUACCUUAAUACGGUGGAAGUGGCUUGAGCUCAAGUUGUGGCGGCUUCGCAAUUGAAGGCUUAGCGGGAGGGGUGACUAUAUUCUCUAAGUCAAGAGAAAGCUUUUUUUGAUGCAUAAGUGUAGGACCCAAGCCCUUCUAAUACAUUCACCGAUUCCAUGUAUCCUUCCAUAUAUUCACCAUCAAAAUUCACCAAAAUAGCCGUUAAUGCCACACCAAGGAAUUACUCUUCCAUCUUCACCUUGAAUGCACCCUCUACCUUAUCUACAACAUCAUUGAUUGAGAUACUUUCGUAUGUAUGUGGUAAUUUCAUAAAGGUAACUUCUUCAUCAUUAACUCGGAACUUAAUCUCAUUUCGUUUCGAGUCCACCAGUGCCCUCCCAGUAGCAAGGAAUGGUUUCCCCAAGAUGAUUGGGAUAUCUUUAUCAACAGCACAAUCGAGGAUAACAAAGUCGACAGGGAGGAGAAACUUCCCCACUUUCACAAUAACAUCAUCAACAAUUCCCACCGAUCACUUUAUUGAAUAGUCGGCCAUUGCAACCUCAUACUUGUUUGCCUAGGCAUACCUAUUCCCUCUUUCUUGUAAAUAGCAAGUGGAAUUAAGUUGAUGAUAGGUUCAUUAUCACAAAGUGCUCCUUAAAAAUCGUGUGUUUAUCAUUAAAAUGGUAAUAACAGUUAAAUUUAUUGAUGGGACUCUAAAAAUACGUAAUCUAUUUUAUGCUAGUUGUUAGAGCAAUGGAGGCUAGAUAUGUGAAGUUUAACGAUGGAAUACGAACUAAAAUAGAGUUAUAAUCAAACCGAGGGGCUUGUGAUCCGGGCCUUGGACUGGCCGACGAAGGGCCUCGAGGUCGAUGCCUGCUUAAGCUCGAGCUAUCGGGGGUAACCAAGUAGGGACUAACAGUUAGGAUAUAAUUAAAGGAGGCUCUUCAUGGUCAAUAUUAAGCAAUGACAGAAGAACAAGUAUGAAACCAAUAAGUAGAAAGGAAAGCCUCGAGCGAGUAAGUUAGAGAGAAAAGAGAGUUGUUAUUAUCUUGUAUAGAAUAGUUGAAGCAACAACAACCCGCUACAAAGAGACGAGGAUCCCAUUUAUAUAGGAGGGGGAACCUCCCAUAGUAUAAAAUAUUAAUUGGAAAAGCAUGGAGAUAGGACGGCUAGACGCGACGCCUUGAUACAUGCUCUGGGUAGGCUGGCAGUGUCUGACUUCGGCGUGUGCCUUGGGAAUUCCCCAUUUUGCUCUAGCCUCGAUCUAUUUCCUCUUCAUGUCGGGCCUUGACGUGCUUCGGGGGAGGGAACUCUGUCACGCCCCAACCUUGGGAGGCGUGGCUGGCACCCGGUGCUGCCCUGACCCGAGCGAACCACUCUGUGACUGUUUCAUUCUUUUUGUAACUAUCAUUCGUCAAUUGAUGAGUGGUGAUUUUACCACUCAUUCUAGCCUCUUUUGCGUAGCUUUUAUGACCUUUUUAUUAUACAAUGAGGUUGUUUAUGGUGGUUAUUGUUAGAUUUUCAGGUAAAUUAUCCUGUUGAAGUGAAGUGGAAUUGAGGAAAAAGAAGGUGAUACCAUGGAAAACCUCCAGUAAUUUUCGCUUCUGCGGAUAAUUGGUCGCAGGAGCGACUUCUGCUUUUUCGGAUUGUUGACCGCUUCUGCGGAUAAGGAUGAAUAGUCGAGACCCAUUUUUGUAGUUAAAAUUCCGCUUCUGCGUAACCGCAGAAGCACGUUGAGGAUCGCUUCUGCGAUCACUGGCAAAUAGUGACUUUCCUCUUCUGGUUUUGAAUUGUUCCGCAGAUGGUAGAUCGUGCAUCACGCCUGGGGUAGAAUAGGCAUAUCACAUUUUCUCACCCCAAAUCAUUUUUAUACUCGUCUAACGAGAUCUUUUGGAAAUGUUUUGGCUUAUUUUCUGUCCAUAGAGACUAGAGAGAACAAAUUUUGAAGCUAGGGUUUUGCACAAACACACUUGGAUCUUGAAGAUUAAAGCUUGUGGUUAAGGUUUUCUUACCCAUUUAUGUUUGUUUCUUUAUUUUCUUGCUUUAUAUUGAAUAUUUAAGUCUGUAGUAUUUAUUUCCAACACUUGAAUCUUGUAUAUGGGAAUAUUCUUAUUUAAAGUAUGGAUUAAAUAC
rnacentral:lncRNA from 1 species